rnacentral:rRNA from 1 species
GAUAACUCCGGGAAACCGGGGCUAAUACCGGAUACGAGACGCGACCGCAUGGUCGGCGUCUGGAAAGUUUUUCGGUCAAGGAUGGACUCGCGGCCUAUCAGCUUGUUGGUGAGGUAAUGGCUCACCAAGGCGUCGACGGGUAGCCGGCCUGAGAGGGCGACCGGCCACACUGGGACUGAGACACGGCCCAGACUCCUACGGGAGGCAGCAGUGGGGAAUAUUGCACAAUGGGCGAAAGCCUGAUGCAGCGACGCCGCGUGAGGGAUGAAGGCCUUCGGGUUGUAAACCUCUUUCAGUAGGGAAGAAGCGAAAGUGACGGUACCUGCAGAAGAAGCGCCGGCUAACUACGUGCCAGCAGCCGCGGUAAUACGUAGGGCGCAAGCGUUGUCCGGAAUUAUUGGGCGUAAAGAGCUCGUAGGCGGUUUGUCGCGUCUGGUGUGAAAACUCAAGGCUCAACCUUGAGCUUGCAUCGGGUACGGGCAGACUAGAGUUGGUAAGGGGUGACUGGAAUUCCUGGUGUAGCGGUGGAAUGCGCAGAUAUCAGGAGGAACACCGAUGGCGAAGGCAGGUCACUGGGCCACUACUGACGCUGAGGAGCGAAAGCAUGGGGAGCGAACAGGAUUAGAUACCCUGGUAGUCCAUGCCGUAAACGUUGGGCACUAGGUGUGGGGCUCAUUCCACGAGUUCCGCGCCGCAGCUAACGCAUUAAGUGCCCCGCCUGGGGAGUACGGCCGCAAGGCUAAAACUCAAAGGAAUUGACGGGGGCCCGCACAAGCGGCGGAGCAUGCGGAUUAAUUCGAUGCAACGCGAAGAACCUUACCAAGGCUUGACAUACACCGGAAUCAUGCAGAGAUGUGUGCGUCUUCGGACUGGUGUACAGGUGGUGCAUGGUUGUCGUCAGCUCGUGUCGUGAGAUGUUGGGUUAAGUCCCGCAACGAGCGCAACCCUCGUCCUAUGUUGCCAGCACGUCAUGGUGGGGACUCAUAAGGAGACUGCCGG